ensembl:lncRNA
AGAGAACUACCAGCCCAGCUCCUAGCCAUUAGCUGUGAGUCCUGCAGAGUAGCUUCAUUAGAUCAAAAAGCUCCUCCUCCCUGCUGCCUUCUGGGCAGCUGCCUACCCAGGGAAAUAGGUGGAAAAUGUGCAAGAGAAUUUAGAAAACGGCUUAAAUCUAAUUGGCUCCCUAAGGAUCUCAGUUCCUGUUACUUGUGAGGUGUUUUUUUUCUGAGAGGCAUCUGGAGAGAGUGAACUGCCUCUGCUAGUUGGCAGGCAAGGAGACAGCACAGAUCUGGGGCACUGGGAGUCCAGCGUGCAUGUUGUCUCUGCCACUGUGGAGCUAUCUAGCCCCAGGAUCUCAAGUUUUGUGGGAGUGGAGGUCUUGUCUGCCUUACUUCUGGCUGCAGCUGAGUAUCUAGAACAGGCCAGCGCAUAGAAGAUGCUCAGUAAAUGUUGGAAGGAUUGAAGGCAUCAGCGACCCGCAUACAUGAGCCCCCGUUAGCUUCACUCCUCCCCCGUAGUUGGUCUUUGAGGUGACACACUCUUUCAUUUGCACGGCUCCAGGUUUUUUUGGAGGAAGAGGCAGACAUUCGUGUUAAGCCCCUGAGUCUGAGAGUUAUUUCUCGUUCACCUUUUGCACCUGAAGCUCUCUCGGAUGUCUGCCGAAUUUAAUGGGCCUCCAGGCAAGCGGCAGUUGGGAGCCUUAGUGGGAAUCAGUCACAUCGCAAAGGAGCACAGAGGCGGUAGAAAAAUGAUUAAGGGAGAAUAGCAGAAAAGUAUGAUUGAACAUUUAUUGAGUCGCACAUUGUACUCCAAGCUGUGUAUAACAUAAAAAGCGAAUUAGGGGACAAGUCAGAUAUAAAAUGAGUGAGCACACACAAGCGCACGGAUGCUGCAGAGGAGAAGGUAUUUCUCCAGAUGCCUUCUCUCAUUCGCCAAACUGUAGCCUUAUCAGAAUAUGUGAGCUCUUUCAGGAGAGUCACUGUGCAGCCAGUGUUCGUAGCCCAGGCUUCCCUCGGGGCUGGGGGCGGUGGAACAGAGAACCUGCAAUUUCAUUACCGCUUCCUAAAGAAACUUUCUCCAAGGCUAACAGACUUUCUAGGGAGGCCAAACCAAGUGCAGCUGAGUUUAAUGUUCUCAUUAAAAUGUUAAAGAGGCUUUAUUCAUGAAUGACUGAAGCUGUAAUUGCUUUAUCCUCGUAAACUAUGGAAAUAUGUGGUCAUCUCUUACAGUGGUGUUCACCCAACCCUCCCUCAGGAAGAUCUGUUUAAUGGAGGGC